rnacentral:rRNA from 1 species
AUUCCAGCUCCAAUAGCGUAUAUUAAAGUUGUUGCGGUAAAAAAGCUCGUAGUUGGAUUUCUACCGACCUUGGCCGGUUCGCACCAUGUGCGUAAUCUGGAUUAAGCUCGGUAUUCUCUCGGAAAACGGUUCUGCGCUUAAUUGCGUGGUCCGGGUUUCGGGACUUUUACUUUGAGGAAAAUAGAGUGUUCACGGCAGGCUUUCGCCCGAAUACUGUAGCAUGGAAUAAUACCAUAGGAUCCGGGUUCCUUUUGUUGGUUUCAGGUUCUCGGAUAAUGAUUAAUAGGGACAAUUGGGGGCAUUCGUAUCAACGCGUCAGAGGUGGAAUUCUUGGAUUGCGUUGCGACGAACUACUGCGAAAGCAUUUGCCAAGGAUGUUUUCAUCA